rnacentral:misc_RNA from 1 species
GGCGCGGCGAGCGGGAACAGCUCUUGAGGAGUGAGACUGCAGGAGAUGUGGGCCGUGCCAAAGAGAUGGAUGAGACUGUUGCUGAGUUCAUCAAGAGGACCAUCUUGAAAAUCCCCAUGAAUGAACUGACAACAAUCCUGAAGGCCUGGGAUUUUUUGUCUGAAAAUCAACUGCAGACUGUAAAUUUCCGACAGAGAAAGGAAUCUGUAGUUCAGCACUUGAUCCAUCUGUGUGAGGAAAAGCGUGCAAGUAUCAGUGAUGCUGCCCUGUUAGACAUCAUUUGUGACAGUCAGCUUCAGAGAAACUGAGGAGAAUGCAGUCUGGAUUCG